UGCAAGUCGUGGGGCAGCAGGUUUGUAGCAAUACAGAUGCUGGCGACCGGCAAACGGGUGCGGAACACGUACGCAACCUUCCCAAAACUGGUGAAUAGCCCUCCGAAAGGAGGAUUAAUACACCGUAACAUAAUGAAGUGGCAUCACUUUAUUAUUAUAGCUCCGGCGGUUUUGGAUGGGCGUGCGUCUGAUUAGGUAGUUGGCGGGGUAACGGCCCACCAAGCCUGCGAUCAGUAGCUGAUGUGAGAGCAUGAUCAGCCACACGGGCACUGAGACACGGGCCCGACUCCUACGGGAGGCAGCAGUAAGGAAUAUUGGUCAAUGGACGCAAGUCUGAACCAGCCAUGCCGCGUGGAGGAUGAAGGUCCUCUGGAUUGUAAACUUCUUUUCUCUGGGACGAAACCCCCGAUUUCUAUCGGGCCUGACGGUACCAGAGGAAUAAGCACCGGCUAACUCCGUGCCAGCAGCCGCGGUAAUACGGAGGGUGCAAGCGUUAUCCGGAUUCACUGGGUUUAAAGGGAGCGUAGGUGGGCUUGUAAGUCAGUGGUGAAAUCUCUGGGCUUAACCCGGAAACUGCCAUUGAUACUAUAGGUCUUGAAUUCUCUGGAGGUAAGCGGAAUAUGUCAUGUAGCGGUGAAAUGCUUAGAUAUGACAUAGAACACCCAUUGCGAAGGCAGCUUACUACGGAGACAUUGACACUGAGGCUCGAAAGCGU
rnacentral:rRNA from 1 species